rnacentral:rRNA from 1 species
UAGUGGCGAACGGGUGAGUAACACGUGGGCAAUCUGCCCUUCACUCUGGGACAAGCCCUGGAAACGGGGUCUAAUACCGGAUAUCACUCCUGCAGGCAUCUGCGGGAGUUGAAAGCUCCGGCGGUGAAGGAUGAGCCCGCGGCCUAUCAGCUUGUUGGUGAGGUAAUGGCUCACCAAGGCGACGACGGGUAGCCGGCCUGAGAGGGCGACCGGCCACACUGGGACUGAGACACGGCCCAGACUCCUACGGGAGGCAGCAGUGGGGAAUAUUGCACAAUGGGCGAAAGCCUGAUGCAGCGACGCCGCGUGAGGGAUGACGGCCUUCGGGUUGUAAACCUCUUUCAGCAGGGAAGAAGCGAAAGUGACGGUACCUGCAGAAGAAGCGCCGGCUAACUACGUGCCAGCAGCCGCGGUAAUACGUAGGGCGCAAGCGUUGUCCGGAAUUAUUGGGCGUAAAGAGCUCGUAGGCGGCUUGUCACGUCGGGUGUGAAAGCCCGGGGCUUAACCCCGGGUCUGCAUUCGAUACGGGCUAGCUAGAGUGUGGUAGGGGNAGAUCGGAAUUCCU